CAUGCCUUACACAUGCAAGUCGAACGGCAGCACGGGUGCUUGCACCUGGUGGCGAGUGGCGAACGGGUGAGUAACGCGUGGGAACGUGCCCUUCAGUUCGGGAUAACCCAGGGAAACUUGGGCUAAUACCGGAUACGUGCGAGAGCAGAAAGAUUUAUCGCUGAAGGAUCGGCCCGCGUCUGAUUAGCUAGUUGGUGGGGUAAUGGCCCACCAAGGCGACGAUCAGUAGCUGGUCUGAGAGGAUGAUCAGCCACAUUGGGACUGAGACACGGCCCAAACUCUUACGGGAGGCAGCAGUGGGGAAUAUUGGACAAUGGGCGCAAGCCUGAUCCAGCCAUGCCGCGUGAGUGAUGAAGGCCUUAGGGUUGUAAAGCUCUUUCGUCCGGGACGAUAAUGACGGUACCGGAAGAAGAAGCCCCGGCUAACUUCGUGCCAGCCGCCGCGGUAA
rnacentral:rRNA from 1 species